CCAUGGGAGAAGAAAGAAAGCUCAGAUCUCCCCUUGCCUUCUGAUGUUUCUGAACAACUUGUCCAGACGAUUCUUGUAGGCAGCUACCUUCUCCUUCGAUCCACCAAACCAACAGCAGCAAAUCUGCUAGAAAAAUGGAUAAUCCUCAAUUUCAUACCCAGAUCACAGAUCUGUCAGCAGGAAAAGCAAAACGAAGAAGAAAGAAACCUGGGAUCAAACUGGUUCUGUAGUGUUCACUAGAGGUAUAUACAUAAAUUUGUACAAAAGGAAUUUAACGUACAUGGAUUACAGGGUAGCUGAUUGAAUUCAUAACACUAGCCUUGUAGCCUCAAAAUACUAGACUUGGACACACUUUAUAAAGAGCAAAAAAUGAUAUAUAAUCUAAAUGCUAAACUUGCAUGCUCAAAAAUGCUAAAAGUGCACAUUCAUCAUAGUAAAAUAUAACUACAGCAAAGAAAACUAAUCCACAAAAAAAGAACUUGCAUCAUCAUCAUGCUAUACUUGCGCACACUUUAUCAGAGCAAAAAAUAUAAAAAAACACUUGAAACAAAAAUGAUAAUACGAAAAAUGGAAACUACUGUAUGAAAGAAUCCAAUACUAAAUUUACAUGUGUACAAAAUGAUAAGCUAGUUUCAGGUUAACUGCAUGUAUAAACAUUCAUAAAAUUCAUAAUUUACAAGUAAAACUUGCACCCUCAAGAUAAUAGACUUGCACGUACUUUGUAAGAGCAAAAAUUCAUAGAGUCCAAUACUAAACUUGCAUGCUCCUCAUAGUACACUUGCACACCUUUUACAACAACAAGACUGAUAUUAACAUUCUGAUAUCAUAAUUUAGGGGUUACUGGAUUUAACCUACAUGGAUAACUGGAGGUAGAUACAUGGAGGUAGCAAAACUCAAUUCACAAAAAUAUAACUACAACAACAAAACUAAUACACAAAACCCAAAAUUUUCCAAAAAAGGAACUUGCAUCCUCAUCAUACUAGACUUGCACACGCUUCAUCAAAUCAAAAAAAAAAUCACAAAACCUUGAAACAAAAAUGAUAACAUGAAAGAUGGAAACUUGUAAAGUUAAAUGUGUACAAAAUGAUAACCUAGUUUGAGGUUAACUGCAAUUUGAGUGGUUAUACUAAAUAUUGAGUGGUUAUACUAAAGCAAACAAAAUGAUAAAAUGCAGACAUUUUAUGACAACUAUAACUACAACAAACAUAACUGCAUACACACACUGAAAAAAAAACAUUUGAGUGGUUAUACUAAAUCUUAGCACACUAUUAACAACAACAAGCAAUACAAAUUGUAUGAGUUGAUCCACAAAAUUCAAAAUUUACAAGUAAAACUUGUAUCCUCAUAAUACUAGACUUUCACACACUUUAUAAGAGCAACCUUCAUAUAAAAUCCAAAAACUAAACUUGCACAUUCAUUACAGUAAAAUUGCACACAUUUUACUACAGCAAGACUGACAUAAACCUUGUUGAUAUCGUAAUUUAGAGUUUUCUGGAGGGAGAUACAUUGAUUUAUACAAACAGCAUGUAACCUACAUGGAUUACAGGGAAGCUAACUCAAUUGACAACUAUAACUACAGCAACAGAACUAAUUCAUAAAAUUCAAAAAUUACAAAUGAAACUUGUAUCCUCAUAAAUAGUAGAGUUGCACUUAUUAAAAAGAGUAAAUUUAUAUAGAAAAACCAGCAAAAGUACAUGACAAAACAAAAUCACAAAAAUCAAUGUUCCAUAAAAAAUGCACAUUCAUCAUACUAAACUUGCACACAUUUUACAACAGCAAAAAAACUGGGGUUUACUGGUGGUAGAUAAAAUUAUUUGAACAAAAAUGUAUUUAAACUACAUGGAUUACUGGAGUUAGAUACACUGACGUAGCUAACUAAUUUACAAAUAUAACUAAAGGGCAACCUGGUGCAUGUAGCUCCCGCUUGCGCAGGGUCCAGGGAAGGGUCCGACCACUUUGGGUCUAUAGUACGCAGCCUUUCCCUACAUUUCUGUAAGAGGCUGUUUCCAGGACUUGAACCCAUGACCUCAUGGUCACAAGGCAGCAGCUUUACCACUGCGCCAAGGCUCCCCUUCUAAUUUACAAAUAUAACUACAACAACAAAACUAAUUCAUAAAACUCAAAAUUUGGAAAAUAAAAUUUGCAUCCUCACGAUAAAUUUGCACACACUAUAUGAGAGCAAACAAAUCACAAAAACCUUGCAAAGAAUCCAAUACUAAAAUUAAAUGUGUGCAAAAAUAAUAUCCUAGUUUGAGGUUUACUGCAUGUAUAAACAUUGAAUUCAACAAAAGGAAUUACAUUAACUACACAACACCUAGAUGAAUUGACAAAAAUAUAAAAUCAUUAAACUACUAAAACUAAAAAAUUUGCAACCUCAUACAAGGGGAUAAGAAAACUAAAGAAUGUAAAUGGAUAAGAAACUCACCAUCCUCCUAAAGCAAUAUUCAUCAAGGACGACAUCGAAAACUUCAGGGACUUCAUCGGCUGGCACAAACAGAAAGCAUGGAUCAUCAGGACAAAGACAAACAGGGCAAACCAUACCUACACUAAAAAAACAUAGGGUUAUUCUACAUGGAUAACUUAAAAAAAGAUCUAAAAUGAACAAGCUCCCUAAAAAAAUUAAAUCUAAACAACUUGCAUCUCCAAGCAACUAGACUUGCAUAAACUAUUCAGAUAUUAAUGGGGAACCAUACAUAAACUAGACUUGCAUAAACUAUUCAGAUAUUAAUGGGGAACCAUACAUAAACUAGACUUGCAUAAACUAUUCAGAUAUCAAAGGGGGAGGGGGAGCAUUGUGGUUACAAACUGUAACCUGCAUUUGACUUAACGAAUGAACAUACUAACCAUUCUGCAAAUUUCCCUAAAAAAUAUAACAUUUACUUAAUAACCCUAAAAAAUUGACUACCAAGCUCAAACACUAGGGGUGCAAGGCAGCACCCUGAGCCAUUCUGCUCCGAAUUGAAGAUGAUGCAGGCUCAGAUGUAGCCAGCCUGAUGUGGUUCUAGCUUAAUUUCGGCUAACUCAACACUAUGGCAGACUCUGAAAAGACACCACUCCACACCCAUAUUAAGAUUAAUGAGUUCUAAAUCAACAAAAGAACAUAUAUCACCCACAAAAAAAGAACAUAUAUAAAACCUAGAAGCACAUGACCUUCAAUCUGCAUCAGAAAAUAACAAAUGUACACAAAAAAGGUAGGAUCUUUGAAGAGGUAGAAGACUCGCUCCACAUCUAAAAGAUCCCUAAAACUAGGUACUCGCACUACCACCAAACAAACAAAAAAUAUAGCAAACCUGAAGACUACAAAACCACCUACAGAAGCAUCAAAUCAAAAACACGUACGAUUUGAAUCCAACCUAAACAAUAGAAAAAACCCUAAUUAAAUCACAAUAUAACAAAGAACCCUAGAAAACUACUCUCACUGCCACCGUAAACAUUACAGUAAUGAGAUCAAGCAAAAGAAAAAACCUAGAGGAAGAAGUAUAAGCAGAAGCAGCAGAUCUAGCAAGAACAUCCACAAACCCUGGCUCUCGCAGGCGCAGCAAUACACACUGCGCAAAAAAUUACAACAGAGAAAUUAAGUAAAAGAAAAUACCUGAAGAAGGGGAUAGAUGCAGCAAACUAAUCCCUCUGCCAAGAAUCCCCUGAUUCCCAAAUCCUGUGAACAGAAAAAAGCACAAAAAAGCACCUUAUAAAAGCAUAAGAACAACCACAGGGAUAAGAAUAAGGAGAGGGAGCAGAUCUAGCAAGAACAUCCAUUAACCCCAACUAUCGGCAGGGAGAGGAGAAGACACACUGGACUGAAGCAGAGGCGCAAGUACUGAUAGGAAGCGAGGGGGAAGGGGAUAAGACGAGGAGAGCAGCGACGGUCGGCGUUCCAGAAGACGGGUUGGGCCUCUUAACGGGCACAAACGGGUGCCCCGCGUCGGCAACGAGCCCAGGAAAAAGCGAUUCGACUGAACAAAACAAAGGGUCAGUCGAUAACACUCGGCCCAACUCAGCAAACAGAAGCAACCCGGGAAAAAAAAACCAGCAUGCAUCUUAGCG
rnacentral:lncRNA from 1 species